UACGUAGGGGGCAAGCGUUGUCCGGAAUCAUUGGGCGUAAAGCGCGUGUAGGCGGCUGAGUAAGUCUGCUCUGAAAGCCCGGGGCUCAACCCCGGGAGGCGGGUGGAUACUGCUCAGCUCGAGUCCGGAAGAGGAGUGUGGAAUUCCUGGUGUAGCGGUGAAAUGCGCAGAUAUCAGGAGGAACACCAAUGGCGAAGGCAGCACUCUGGGACGGUACUGACGCUAAGGCGCGAAAGCGUGGGGAGCGAACAGG
rnacentral:rRNA from 1 species